AGCAAUUGUGAAGGUUGGGCAGAGCAGCACUGGACACUGGACCCACUGGGACCAAGGGGGAAAACAUGUCUGAACACUGUACAUGAUGCCCUUAGAAUCAAGAGGAAACAAGAAUGACCAAAAGUAAACCAGUUCACAAGAUUACUUCUGCUGCAGCAGUGGUCAUGGGGACAGGAGGAAGCCAACUAAGCAGUCUCCAGAAGAUCUUAAUUUUCCCCUAUUCUUUCUCAA